rnacentral:lncRNA from 1 species
AUGGCGGACCAGAGAAAUCAGAACCGACGACACACUCAGCAGGAGAGCCAGAACCGAAUGGAUAAAAAAUACAUCCUGGAAUGGCAAGAUUCCCCAUGGGCAGGCACCUUCAUUUUGCUAGUAUUGAGAGAGAUGUUGUCUUUACUGGCACCUGAUUUAUCCAAUGAGAUUGCAAUGGGAGCCUCAGCAAAUGGGUGUCAAAUUGGAGGAGAGAAAUCCGUUAAACAAUGGAGUAACGUUUUACUGAAGGUAAGGCAUGUUGCUUUACAUAAUUAAGACAUAUAUUUUCUUAUUUUAUUACAGAACUUGUGGCAUUUUUCAAUAUCGAGCCUGUUCAUCAUGUCUUCAGUCUCAUGGGCCUGCAGCCUAAGACUUGAGCUCUUAUUUAUAAUGAGACACAGAUGUCAGGCAGAUACAGCAUGUCUGUGAGCAGUGCUGCAUGUCCUCCUCUCUAUAGAAUAGCCCAUGGUUUAGGUGUGGUCUUUCAGAUGGUUUUCUUCACCGAGAGAAUAGAGCAUUCUAUUACUAGCACACCACUCUGCUGCUGUUUCUGUAUCUCUUCUGAACAUAUUUCUUGGAAAUGUUACACACACCGCACACUGCUUGCUGUGCAGUCAUGUGUAGACACUCCAUGUCGACACUCCAUGUAAUAACUGCUUAUACCAUGGCAACGUUUGAAUACUUGUUUCUGAUUGGCUUGCAGGGCAUUCCAGAGUGUGCAUUAUUUCCCUAUGGCGCGCGGUAGAAUUUUGAAAACAAAAGUGAAUUGAAAACAUGAAUGGCAUUGUUGAAUUUGAUUUUCAUAAUGGAAAGCUAGGACCGAUGGUUUGGUUAGCUAAACUAAGAAUACUGUUUGGUUACCAUCUAGUAGACUUGCUAGCUACUUGCGUGGAUGCUAAACACAUUUCUAGCAGCAAAUGAACACGUCUAGCGGCAAAUGUCUUAAAUUACAGCCAUGGUAUAGAAGGGACAAUCAACUCAUUGCUCUAUGCGUUCUCUGGAAAAUAAUGCAACUCCGUGGAAGGUCAGUUCCACUCCGCCAGUGUGUCGUUCAUUCGUUUCCAUAGAGUGCAUAGCCUCCUAUCCCUUACAUAAUGAAUACAUGUACAUGUGUCAUAGAGGAGGUGUGAUUAGCGCAGGGGCACUGCACUCCAAGUCACUCUAUGUUGACAGACAAUUCCUCUAGUCAGACAUUCUGUGUCAUUUGAGACCUCUGGCAUGCUGUGUGCCCUUGUGGCUACAACGGUUGAAUAAUAGUGCACUUGAGUGAAACUGCAACUGCUUUAAUGUCUCACAGACGGGACAAACAAAAUAGAAAUGAAACGUUUCAUGUGUGUGUGUGUAUAGUACCCGUUGGGGUGAGCGUACAUCCUCUAAAAGUGGACUUCUAAAUAUUGGCAUGUUGGAGAAAUAAA